ACAUAGCGAACAGCUCGCCGACCAAAUUAACAAUGUUCUAGAUGGCCAGGUUUUAAUGAUGGCGGGACAGAAAAAGAUCAUCAGGAAAACUGGCGAUAAACAAAAUUCAGCUGCCUACGAAGCGAUUGAGACGCUUGUGAAUGGAAAUGUUACUGGUACAGGCAUCUUACGAUCGGUAUCACAAGAUGGAGAUACUUGGGCAUUCAUUUUUAAGAAAGGUACACCUGACAGUUACAGAGAACUUACUCAGCCUUUCGGAACUACCUCAUCUGUACAGUUUAUCGAAAGCGAUAAUUUAAUACUCACUGCUGAAUCAUAGGUGCUGCUGUGACAAACAAACAAACGGUUUCCUUCCGGGUUGCCAAUAUCAACGCCACAAACCCGUUGAUUCAUCUGAUAGAUGACGCCACUACGUGGCGUCCAGGUGACAAGAUAGUGAUAGCGUCUACCGAUUAUGAUUGGGCGCAAGCAGAGGUGAGGGAAGUAAUAUUCUGUCCAACAUGUAACAACUAUCAAAUCAGGAUCAAUA
rnacentral:lncRNA from 1 species